CCACAAGUUGUACCAGAGGAGGUUUAGAUAAGGAAAAACUUUUUCUCUCAGAGAGUGGUCACACAUUGGAAUGGCCUGCCCAGGGAGGUGGUGGAGUUGCCUGCUAGUGUUCAAGAAGCAUCUGGAUAAUGAGCUACGAGAUAUGGUUUAGUGGCUUGUGGUAGCAAUGGUGAUGGGAGGAUGGUUGGAUUAGAUAAUCUUGUAGGUCCUUUCCAACCUCCAACAAGCUUCUAGCCUUAUAUGGUUGUAUGCAUAUAACACCCCAGUAAGGAUAAGAAAGAAUUGAAAGACUUUGUCAUUGUAUUAAGAUGAGUCAAUUAAGCAUAAUUUUUUUAAAAUUAAGCUGAAUACAAAUAAUAAAAUACAAAGAUUAUUCAAGAAUGAGAAAAAGAUGGAGAUUUUAGUCUAACUAUCCAAGAUUUGCAUGCUUGCUCAGAAGCCCAAAAUAUAGACGAACCACAGGUACUGAAAAACUCUGAAUUUUUUCAAAUAAUAAAAAAAACCACUCAGUUUUCCUCCCCCACACUAACAAAAGUAUCUGAAGGACUUCAGAACAGGUUGAAAUGUCUAAAGGGAAACAAAGUUUGUAUCUUUGGAUGAAGGACAGAGCUUCAAAUCACCUCAGUGUGAGAGAAAUGAAGCUAUAGCUAACAUGGGUAAACAACAAAUUCUUUACUGCUAAAAGAAAGACAAGGCUGAAGAAAAGGAAGUUUAGAAAAAGUGAAAUGUGUUUACAACGAAAUCAUAUGAAACUGGAAGAAAAAAAAACACCAAAAAGCCAUUUAUAAAUACAGCAGUAACAAAACCAAGCAACAUCAAAAGAAUAACGUAAGAAAAGUGAUGAUACGAUUUCCAGCAAGCAAGAAAAGCCUCAGUUCAUUAGUUGAUUCCAAGAAAUCUCAAGUACUUACUAUUGGAUUUGCAUCAGCCUUUUGGAACAGGGUCAGAUGUUAAGCAGCUGCUAGCACAAUUAAGACCAACACAUAAAGGGUAACAAGACAUCUGGCAAUGGGAGAAGUAGCAGAUGUGUUCUGAUCAUGACAAGGUUUUUGAUGCUCUCACAGAUGAUGAAAGUGAAGAUCUCAGCUGGAGAUUUUUGGGCAAUGCGUUUCUUCCGUCUCAAACUGUGAAUGCAGUAGAGUGCCCAGUGAUGGAUCCAAUUUCUGGAAAGUUGUUCUGGAGAAAAGAUAGAAGGAAUUGCAGGGCUUAUCCUACUAAAGAAAAGGCUGAGAUGGAACAUGGUAUAUCUGUUUGUACACAUGGGAGACCUGAUGUGCUUUUAAAAUUGGGAGGACACUUAAAAGAUGAGCAAACAUCUUAGUGCUGCUUCCUACCACAGCAAUAGCUGUUGGAUGAAGGCUGACUGAUCUAUGGAAACAAUCCAUCUUAAGAAGUCCUUAACCAAAUUCCUGGGCAUAUUUCUAGAAACAGAGUGAAACAGACUGCAGAGAAACAGGUAAAUAAAAUGAUCUAGGAUCAAAAGAAAAUAAGCAAACAAAAAG
ensembl:lncRNA